UCUAGAUGUGGGUCCAGUUUUCCCCCGGCUGCUUUCCGGUUCCUCCUCCCCUUCAAUCCUUCCCCCGCAAACAACCUUGGAAACCCGGAGGGAAGGGGCACCAAUCAAAGGGCAGAAGAGGGAGGUGAAGGAGGAGUAGGGACAUAGAGCACAGGUAGACGUCAAGGGGACGGGGGUGCAUCGCCUCAUGCACUCCACCUGGAUUCCAUCCUAACCGCCGAGAAGGGUCUCAGUGUAAGGGUUCCAGGAGCUGUGUGUCAGGAAACAUACAAGACAGAAGUGAUGGACAGCGGAGAAGCAAGAACAAGUAAGGGAAUUGCUUGUCACCUUGCUCAUGGCUAUCCAAUAAGGGGCACUGCCAGAUGGAGUCUCAAUAUGUUACCCAGGCUGGCCUUGAACACCUGGAUUCAGGAAGAGAGAAACCCAUUGAGUAGUUGGGACAUUGUGUUGGAGGGUCCUACAAACCAAAUGAAGAAGAGAAUGUGAAGAGAUAUUCAAGUGGUGCAAGCUUCAUGCAAAAAUGUCAGUAAGGUGAACCCCAACCUGCCCAUGAGUAUCCCCAGGAGAGGAAAGAUGUGAAUGAAGAGAUCAGAAAAGAAGAAACAGACUGGUCCCAAAUCAGGUGGAAGUUUAUGGAUACCCUGGAGGAUUGCGAGAAGAAGUGAGGGAACAGAAGGUGAUAACUAAGGACCUGUAAUUGGUGGUGGAAUUUUUCUUGGGAGAAAAUAACAGUUACCAUAAAACUAGCCAGACCUACCUCAAGCUCGUACUUCUCUGUCCCCGCACUUUUGGCGAAGACAAAAUUCAGCACCUCACUGACAACUGGCACGAUUUCCUGACCAGGUUUAGAAUGGGGGCCCCAGCAGAACAAUACACAAUUGGUAGGGGUGUGAACAAAACUGAUGUCUUUUUUGCAGCAGGAUGGACUAAAAACAGAAUUAUCCAGUGCUUGCCUUGGAUAGGACUAGGGUGUCACUCCCUAGUGGUUAGGCCCCACCUGUCUCAGUUCAGUCACUGCUUUGGAAGCCUUUUCUGUGUGGGUUCUAAGUAGCUUCAGGUAAUUUGCAAGCCAAUGGCUUCUCCUCUGUUCAGUGCCCCUCUCUUUUAUCUUCAGGGUUCUCUGCUGACAAAGAGGCAGGGAUCUCAAGAACCCACUUAGCACUAAUGCAUGCACAACCUAAAGGGCUGUGGAUUUAAUUACCAAUUUUUGACACACGGUGGCCAGGAGCUAAUGGAUAAAAGUUUUCCCAUAGAGAAGUUUCUGUACUACAUUUCAUAUAGCUUCUCAAUCUUUCCAUGGAAUCCAGCAACUAGUUUCCAUAGUGGAGGCCUGCUCUGUUACACCUCUUUGUAUUGGUGUCACCUCCUUCCCUGCUCCACUCCACUAAGUCACAUUCCUUCUUCUUGGCUCCUGGUCACCACUAUGGCACCUGCACUUAAGCUUUUGUCCAGGCUCUGGUUCCUGGAAAAUUCAGACUAAGAUGACAUUGAAUAAGACUUCUGCUUGAUUGAUUUUAUGGUACCAGGUUUCAAAUGUGGGUUCCUUUUACCCCUUUGAAACUUCAAAGGAUGAUUCCUACUUUUUCCUGGGCAGGUGUCAUGAAUUAAAUUCAACUAUCAGCUACACAAGUCAGCAACAUGGGUCAUUUAUUUAAGAAUCAAUGGCUCUCUCAUAGCCACAGAACUGAAAAUAUUUCUCCUUAGCUGCUAGAGAGGGGCCAAGACAAGAAUAAAAGUUUAUAUUGGUUUGUGAGCUAGUCAAAGCACUGAACUUGGUGAAACCAACCCAUAUGUGCAAAGUACUAAGAAGUUGACUGUCCCAGAAAUGUGAAUACAUUGUUGGUCAUACCAGCAGGGCACAGUCCCCUCCUCAACAGGAGACUAUUUUGGUCAUGGUCUCCACUUUGGAUGCACCACUCUCAUUUUGAGAGCUGAGAUGGUCAAGGAGGCAGUAAGGAAAGUGCUAUGGAUGGGACCAGCAUGCUGUAGAGCAGAGUAGAUGUGUGCAAAGCAGCACUAAUGGCAGGGAGCUUGGUGGGAAGAAGGAAGCAUGUCCACAGCAGGGGCCACCUGAGGGAGCUGUGUGGUCCCACCAUUGGCUUAUUUCCAUGUCCAAAGAGCCCAACAAUGAGAAAUGGCAGUAGGUGGCUCCACGGAAAUCACCUUCUCCCUGGCCUGGGUGAUGUGAUUCUCCUCCAGGAAUUCCAGCUCAGCAGUUACUAUGUACAACACUCAGUGGAGAAAAUGCUCAACACUUCCAGAACUCUGGCUGUCCCACAGUACCUGCAAAGUUCCCCAAGCCCCAGAAAGCUACAUUUUACAUCUCCUCUGAACACACACACUUGCUCUGAAGCUACCAUUGCCACUUCUAAAGGUCAUGAGGCUGUGUAGGAAAGGGCAGGGAGGGGACUAGAAGAGAAGAGUCAGAGGAUGGCAAUGGUGACAUUUACAUGGCAUUUUGAGUGUUGGCUUUGUCUGCUCAUGUCGCUUGCUGGUAUCUUAUCAUAGUUUGGCUGCUCUCACAUUUCUUAUACUCUGGUUGAUGUGACAGUCUUCUCACUAGAGUGUGAGCGCUAUUUUUGAAUUCUCAGACCUGAGACAGUGCCUCAUGCACUGCAGAAACAUAAUCAGUGUUUCUGGAAGGCUUCAGUCUUUAUUCACAUGCCCCCUACUCUGAGGCCUACCCUGGCCACCAGCAUGAAAAUCCCACCUUCCAACCCUACUAACAAUCACCCUGGGCCUACUCUACUUUUCCUCUCUCUUUCUAGCCCAUAUUUCUCCAAGCAUACUAUUUCACUUUAUGAUUUUGCUCAUCAUUCCCUCUCCCCCCACCCUGGAAUGUUCCACUGAAAGCAUUUUUGAAUAUUUUAUUUGCUAACAUCUCCCUAUAGCUAGAACAAGAGCUGGCAUAUAAUAGGCACUCAGUACAUAGUAACUGAAUAAAGAACUUCCAUCUCCAGAUUUACUAAGCAUUAGC